UGGGGAAUAUUGCACAAUGGGCGAAAGCCUGAUGCAGCAACGCCGCGUGAGUGAUGAAGGUCUUCGGAUUGUAAAGCUCUGUCUUUUGGGACGAUAAUGACGGUACCAAAGGAGGAAGCCACGGCUAACUACGUGCCAGCAGCCGCGGUAAUACGUAGGUGGCGGGCGUUGUCCGGAUUUACUGGGCGUAAAGGGUGCGUAGGCGGAUGUUUAAGUGAGAUGUGAAAUACCCGGGCUUAACUUGGGUGCUGCAUUUCAAACUGGAUAUCUAGAGUGCAGGAGAGGAGAAUGGAAUUCCUAGUGUAGCGGUGAAAUGCGUAGAGAUUAGGAAGAACACCAGUGGCGAAGGCGAUUCUCUGGACUGUAACUGACGCUGAGGCACGAAAGCGUGGGUAGCAAACAGGAUUAGAUACCCUGGUAGUCCACGCCGUAAACGAUGAGUACUAGGUGUAGGAGGUAUCGACCCCCUUCUAUGCCGCAGUAA
rnacentral:rRNA from 1 species